rnacentral:lncRNA from 1 species
UGCUUUUUUGCUUCUCUGCUCUCCAGAGAAGGGACACGGGCUGUUGCUCCAUCCCUUGACUUUAACCACCGAGUUGGGAAUGCUUCACUCUGCUUCAUUUCAUCAGCCCAUCCAGCAGCAGACUCAUGUGAGCAUGCCAGGUUUUGCCUGAUGGAAUUGCUCAGACUUCCAGUGCUCUAAAAGGGAGAGGAGAUUUGGAUUCUUCACAGUCAGCACUGAGAGACUGCCCAUUCACUGUUCUUGCACCGUUCCUCAUGUGAAGAUUUGUUGCCCAAUACAAUAAAAUCUGAAGCGACAGACAAUUCACAAAGCUGCUCCGUCACCCCGAGUUUUGGAAAGCAUCAUCCUUUUGUUACGUCCUCUGUUCAAUUUAAAAACAAAAAUGCAGUUACCAUGACAACUCUUGCCCACACUGGAAAUCCGUUAUUGGGAGUUUCUGGCAUGGGUUUUAUUUGCAUAUGCUGCAAACUGCACUGUUAUUAAACAGACUGUUGACUGUUCUUCCAGUCACUGACUUGGACAACUGAUGUGACAGUAGUCACAACUUUCUUCUGGUUUCAGGUAAGAUGCUCAUGUACAGCUUUAUAUAGCUGAAUUUGCAUGCUCUCUACUUGUGUAUAUUAUAUGUUAUAUAUGGUCUUUUUUUUUCUUACAAUCUGAAGCCAUGCUUGCUUGUUUAAAUCAUCAAAGAACUUGAAAAAAAGUAUUUUUUCAGUUGCUGUCCUUUUUGUAAGAUAUUUAGUUAGAUGCUUUCUCAUUUUGAGAAUAUUUUGGUCCUUUUUGCAUAAAUAUUUAGUAUACUCUGUGUUUUUGUUAG